rnacentral:lncRNA from 1 species
GUGGAACUGCAAAAACUUGAGUUCUUACAAAACAAUCUAGAGUUGCUCCCUCUUUGUCAAGACACCAGCUACCCUGUUCUGCUCUCUAAAGCUACGGUGCAAAGCUGGACCUCCCAAACAUCUUUAUCAUCAACUUGCAUUCAUCAACCAGCUAAAACUCUUCUAUAUGAACCAGUGAAUUAUGAUGAGUCGUUACUACUAGCAAUGACUUCCUCUUU